GCAGGCGCGAAGGUGCGGGCGAAGGGCGCGCGGCGCAGCUGAAGGGAAACGCAGUUACGUGCGUGUCGUGGUGCGUAUACACUCGCCUGUGCGAAUAUAUCGAUCUCGCUACCGACCGACGCACGUUCUUCUUUCGGCCCGGACGUCGAGCGCGCGCCACGUCCAACUAACCCAACCACCCACGUUCUCGAUGCAAUCGCCGGCGAAAUCACGAGCCGUGUACACCGAGAUCAACUGAGGCAACGGACGUGUACCUUCUGACAUUAUCGUGACGGUGUUCUUUUUGCUGAUUGAUGCAAAGAAGAUAACUAGCGAAGAACUUGAGACAGAAAAAUGGAACUGCGUAAAAUCGUGGCACGAGUGUAUCCUGUUCAUGCUGACAACACAAAUGCGGCAUCGACAUCGUCUCGCCUCGCCACGAAAGAGCAAGGCCCAUCCUCCGCAAAGAUCCUCGACUGCGUUUAAAUAUAGUGCGUAUGCCGGUGAAGCAGGCGGUCCUCGACGCCGAGGAGUUUGGACGGUCGCCAGCGAGGUGGCCGAUCGACGGCGAGUUCUCCUCUUUGUGGCGCUUCCUCUGUUUCAACAUCCCGUUCUUCAUCAUACUUUUUUGCGUAGGGGGUAACCUCUAAAAUAUGAGGGAGCCGCUCUGUCAUUACAUUACGUUUUACGACGCACCGGCCGCGAAACGUGGAACCGGACGCGUAAGUUCAUGGAUGUUUUAUGGAUCAUCGACCGUCCUAACGUGAAGCUAGAUCAGAAAUCUGAACCGAGAACUAUACACAAGUGAUGAGAGAGAGAGAGAGAAAGAGGGGAAAAAAAGAGAACAAAGCGAUUAUAUGUUCUGAUUCUGUCGGAACAGAACGUAUAUUCCUCUUGGAAGGAUUAUAGCAGCUGAAGAUUUGUUUUAAGAAACAACUCGACUAAAGUCCGUAUUAAUAGCUGUCACUUGUAAUGUGAGAUACUCAGAUUUUUAUUAAGAAUUAGAUUAAAAUUUUUCAGUUGAAUUACUAUAUAUGUGAUAUUUACAAUCGAUAUCUACAAUCGCGAUCCAAAUAAAAAGCUCCUAAGUAAUAAUAGUCGUUACUUGAAACUUGCUUCAGAUAGGACACUCAGAUUUUAAUUUAGAGUUAGAUCUGAGUUUCUCAGUUGAAUCGCGAUUGCAAAUGUAUUGUCACAUAUAAAAUUCAUGGAGGUAAGAAAUAACAAAAGGGAGGGUAAAGCUUUUUAGGUAGUGAGGGUAAGUAUGCUACGUGAUUGGUUAGCUACAGUAUGGCGUUUUAUAUUUUAUUGUCGCGCUUUGAUAUAAACAAUAUCAAUAUGGCGCAUACUGUUCCCCUCUUGUCUACUAAAACAGGCCAAGGGGAGAAUAUUCUCUCUCUUGUUAUUUCUUAUCUCCAUGAUAUCAUUUAAAUAAAGAAAACGCUCAUUUAACUCUAAAUUUAUAUCUGAGUAUUUUACGUAGAACAAGUUUCAUGUAACGACUAUUAAUACGAGCCUGAAUAUAUCACUUGAAGCAUAACACAAUAAAUAUUAAUACGGGUCUAUAUCUAUAAUCGCCUAUAUCAUUAAUACCCAACACUGGUUUCCAGUGUGUUGACUAUUAAUACAUGCCGAAAUGUCACGAAAUCAGAUAAAUAUUAAUUCAGUAAACCGGAAAGUAUACGUCAGAGCCUCGCGAAGUAUCACUGGAAUAUGAUGAAAUCGAGAAUUCAACAAAUACAAUAACAUCGUAAUAUGUCGUAAUGUUCUUGUUUUGAGAACAGUGAGCGCUUUAAUGGAUGAUGUAUAGCUUACGAAUUUCAACCCUGAAUUAAUUCUAUUCGCAAGAACAAUUUUUUCUCUAUUCAUUAUUGAUCCUAGUAACAUAAAGAUGAUAUCUGAUAUUUUUCAUAAUUUUCUAAUAAACCAUUUUGGAGAAAUUAAAAUAUGGUUUCAGCGAAACAACCCUUUGAUAUGCUGCAUUAUUAUCAGUGCAAAUUAUAUUCUGCAUAAUAAUAAUUUUCUACUUUUCAUACAUCGUAAUAAUGCACAAGAAUAUUCUGUAUAGUCCAAAUAAAUACAAUAUCAGUAAAUUGCGAUUAUUUAUGGAACGGCCAGUGUCGAAGUGGAGAGACGACGAGUGCCGAUAGUUUAUUAGUUUUUACUGCUACAACCAAGUAAUAGGAUUAAAAUCUCGUCGACGAAUCAUGCAAGACAGAGUUGUCAAUAAUUGAUGGUUUGGCGGCGAGAAAUAUCGAUUAGUUUGCAUCGAUUUAAAGUACAUGUCGCCUUAGGGCAACGACGAUAUUAAAGGAUUGAAAUGGUGACGAAUCGUUUAAAUGUUGUCUCUCGCGAGUGCGCUGCUCAACAGCGCCGAGGUGUUAUUGAACUUUGAAUUCGUGUAUUUUUUGUGUAAUAUUAUCGGAAUUAUCAGUGUUAGCGAGAUAUUCCAAGGUACGGCGAGAUGUCCAUGAGAUAUGCCGAACAAUUACGCGAGAUAAGAGGCAAUUGCCGAUUGUUUGCGAACGUACGGCGCAAAUGUUUACCCGUAAGUCAGUCGUCCAAUGAAAUAAUCAAAUCGAUAUUCGAGUAUCAUCCUAUUAGAAUGAAAUGACACACAGUCGCCGGAGUCGAAAUGUGGCUCAAUGUGCGCCAAUGAGGCUAUCGUGCGAUCGGUUACCGCGAACACAAGCCGGUAAAUAAAUAUACCAGUGAUUCUAAGGUACGCGAGUAUCGAGUUCGCCAAAAUCGAUACUCUCCCCGUCCCUUGCGACGUCAGUACAAGGGUACGAAGGUAACAUAAGGUAAGCUUACAUAAACAGAUACACGUACACACGCGCAGAAUCACCGACAUACAGUAGGGGAAGGUCGUCGUGAGGCUAGUGGUCAAGUUAAUCUGGAAAAGCUCAUUAUACCUGUAGACAGGCUUCGAAAAUAACUCGAGGCGGAGGUGUUUUAACGUCCCUCUGUUUCGCAAAGAGAGGGAUCCGGAGCGUCGCGAUGCCCUUUUAUUACGUGCAUUCCAGUCGCUGUAUAUUCCUUCCGAUGAAUGAAUAUGCGGAUAGGCGCGCGCGGACGCGACAUAAACUUACCACUACCACCACGGCUAAUUCAAGAAGCGCGAGAGACAAAACGCGGGAAACUACGCGACGUUCUAGGACACGGCUUAGUCGUUCGCCCCUGGCAAAUUGUACGGCUUCGAAUGCCACUUCGACGGGUACGCUGAGAAAAAAAUGCUUGAAAAUUUAUUUGUGGAAUGUAUAGUUUAUUUACGUGCAAGAAAGUUUAUUUCAGUCAAAUAAAGCUCAUUUCUCUAUGUAAAUACUUUAUAACUUCUCUAUAUGUAAAAAGUAAAAUAUAAUUAUAUAAAAUAUAAUUUCUCUACGUAAAAAUUUCUUUACUUUUGCUCUAUGUAAAAACUUUAUAUCCCACACAAAUAAAUUUUCAAGUAUUUUUUUCUUAGUGUAUUUUUACAGCAAACUCGUACGUAUACUGAGAGAAAAAAUAGAUAAAAGAUAAAAAAUAUCUAUAUUCGUUAGGUACUAAUGUUUAUUGUACGUAAAAGGACUUCGAACUUCUAACAAUGUCGAUAAUGUACAGGCGACUGUCAAGUUGUCGUGUCAGAAACACUGACAUGUUCAUAUUAUUUUUGUCAUAUACUUCUUGUAAAUCAAUGUUAUAUAAAUAUGUGCCAUUUUGAUCAUAUUUAGCGAAAAACACAACCACUCAUAUACAGAAAUCUUUCUGCAAACUUCUCGUAUAUUUUUAAGCUUCUCCAAAUUCAAUCGUAAACGUGCAGCAGUGUUCUUUGAAAUUUUCUUGAGUGGAGCAAACGCUCCUCAUCGCGAAAUAAACGAUUAAUCAAUU